rnacentral:lncRNA from 1 species
AUAAAAUACAAUGAUUUUAACUAAAAAGAAAAAUUAAAACCUUACCAAAAAAAAAAAAAAAAAUUAAAAAAUGCUUCACGAGAUGUCUUUCCGUCAAGCAUCUUCGGUGGUCUCGUGGCGUCGGAUCUGGUGGUGGCUGGAGGGUGAGGGUUCGUCGGGCAUCAGAUCUAGGAGCUCUCAUUGUUGCCCGUUGAAAACAUUGCAGCAAUCGGAAUUUGGAUCAGACUCCAUGGCUGAUGUGACGGCGUCGUUGCGUUGAACUCCAGGGCUGAUGUCACGGCGCUGAUGCGUUGAACAUCGUCAAUGGUGGUGGUGGUGGUGAACGACGGCUUCAAGACGCGGUGGCGGAGGCUUGAUAUGCGAGAUCUGAAAAAAAAAAAAGAACAAAGAAAGGAUUAGUAUUCAUGGGAAAUAGAGAAGAAGAAAAAGAAAGAGAAAUUUACCAAGAAAAACAAAAAGGAAACAGGAGAAGAGAAGUAGAGAUCGUAAAAAAAGAGAGAAGAAGAAGAGAGUAAUUGCUUUUGUUGGGAAUGAGAAACAAAAUAAAAGGAAGAUUUAUGUCCGUUAGAUUUAAUGCUAUCAACGGUGGAUGAUCAACAAAACUGUGAUCCUCGUCAAUGUGACGUAACCAAUGAGAAUCAAGUCUCUUUUAUUGCAUUUUGUCUAUAUUUUUAUAACUUUUGUUUGUAUGUGUUUUUAUUAAAUACAUUUGUUUUUAUUUGUUCAAUAUAUUUAUUAAUUAUGGUUUCCAGUUUAGAAUUUAUAAAAUGAUGAUUAUAUUUUAAAACUUUAUUUUUAUUUGAUUUUAGUUUAUUAUACUGAUUAUGUUUUGGUUUAGGGUUAAAAAAUUGAUUAGAUUUCAAAUAUUUUGCUAUUUUCUUCUUAACAAACAACUGAUUUUUUUGUAAAUGGUUCUAAAUAUUGGUUUUAUGUAAAUGUAAUGGUUAUAUUUUGGUUUGAUGGUUUAUGGUUUAAUUUCUAUAAUGAAAAUUUUAAUUAAAGUUUAGAUUUUAGGAUUUGGAGUUAAAUUGAGGGUUUGGGGUAUAGAUUUGAAAUGUUUGAUUUAAAAAUUAAGAAUUUUAUAAAAGUGUUGGAUCUUAAUUUUAAUUAGGGUAUACAUUGGUAAUUAGAUUUUUGUUUAGAGUUUAUAAAUUUAGAGUUUGUCUUUAAGAUUUAGGUUUUCGUCUAGCCACAGAUUUUAUCUGUAGCAAAUUCGUUGCUAUAUAAUAAAAUAAAUUCGAAAAUAAAAUAAUCACGAAAAUUUUAUGGCUUUUUCGUAGCAAAUAGCCACGAAUUUGCUACAGAUAAAAUCCGUGGCAAAAAUUAGCCACGAAAAACCACCAGAAACCACGAAAAUUGUCACGUUAUUUUUUAGUGACUAAUUCGUGGCUGGUAUGAAAUUAGCCACGAAUGUCCAUGGCUAAACCGUGGUUAUACGAAAAAUUUCUACUAGUUAUACAUAAUUGGCCUUUGCAUGCUUGUCCGAUCCAUACCACACGUUAUUAUCCCAAAAUUGCUUAUCUACCAUGUAGGAAUAUAAGUCCACUUAGCUUAGCCAGGUAUCAAUUAGUCUACUCAAUCCGGUAAUAAUUUGAUCAGUUCACCUAGUGAGUUGAGCUUCCGAUCAGUUCAGUUCAACUCAAGUAUUAAAAUCCAAUUCACUUGUCUAAGUCUUCUAAUCAAUUCUUAGAUCAUGAUAACUAAUUAACUCAGUCAAUCAAUCGUCCACUUAUCAUAACUUAUUUCAUCGAUCAUUAUUUUGAUUCUAACAUAGUCUUUGAUCUGGAUCUCGUGAUCAUUCUCUUGAUGUUUCCUGUGAGCGUGUCUUGUUCUACUAUCAUUCACUUGAUCUAAAAAAUGCCAUUUGAUAUUUCCUUUGAAUUACAAGUGGAGAUAUAUUUCGCCCUUAAGUUAUUCCUUGGUCAUUUCUUGAUUAGGAUUCAGUUUUCCUUGAACCAAACUAACCAAGACAUUUUUAUCGUGGAACAUAUCCACCCCUCUUCAAUCACCUUAUCCAAUUACUUUAAAGAUUACAAUGGGACAUCCUAACAAUCCUUAAAGGUUUAGCGUACCUCCUCACCCAUUACUGAGCUUCGAACAAACAAAAGUUGAUACUUUGUUACAUUUUCAAAUAUUUUGUCACGAACAUUGCUAUAGAUCUCCGUACCAAGUUGUAGUAUUUAUAUGUCUUUCAGUCAUUGGAUGGGUUCAAAAUAGUAGGUGUUAUUUUAGAGAAAGAAUAGU